UUCUGGGCCGCACGCGCGCUACACUGACGGAGCCAGCGAGUACUUCCUUGUCCGAAAGGUCCGGGUAAUCUUGUUAAACUCCGUCGUGCUGGGGAUAGAGCAUUGCAAUUAUUGCUCUUCAACGAGGAAUCCCUAGUAAGCGCAAGUCAUCAGCUUGCGUUGAUUACGUCCCUGCCCUUUGUACACACCGCCCGUCGCUACUACCGAUUGAAUGGCUCAGUGAGGCGUCCGGACUGGCCCAGAGAGGUGGGCAACUACCACUCAGGGCCGGAAAGCUCUCCAAACUCGGUCAUUUAGAGGAAGUAAAAGUCGUAACAAGGUCUCCGUUGGUGAACCAGCGGAGGGAUCAUUACCGAGUUUACAACUCCCAAACCCCUGUGAACAUACCUAUACGUUGCCUCGGCGGAUCAGCCCGCGCCCCGUAAAACGGGACGGCCCGCCCGAGGACCCCUAAACUCUGUUUUUAGUGGAACUUCUGAGUAAAACAAACAAAUAAAUCAAAACUUUCAACAACGGAUCUCUUGGUUCUGGCAUCGAUGAAGAACGCAGCAAAAUGCGAUAAGUAAUGUGAAUUGCAGAAUUCAGUGAAUCAUCGAAUCUUUGAACGCACAUUGCGCCCGCCAGUAUUCUGGCGGGCAUGCCUGUUCGAGCGUCAUUUCAACCCUCAAGCUCAGCUUGGUGUUGGGACUCGCGGUAACCCGCGUUCCCCAAAUCGAUUGGGGGUCACGUCGAGCUUCCAUAGCGUAGUAAUCAUACACCUCGUUACUGGGAAAUCGUCGCGGCCACCCCGUAAAACCCCCACUUUCUGAAUGUUGACCUCCGGAUCAGGUAGGGAAUACCCGCUGGAACUUAGCCUUAUCAAUAAGCCGGAGGAAAAAAAACCAACCGGGGAUUGCCCUUAUUACCGGCGAGGGGAAACGGCCAACCGCUCCAA
rnacentral:rRNA from 1 species